rnacentral:rRNA from 1 species
GAUAAACGCUGGCGGCGUGCCUAAUACAUGCAAGUCGAGCGAACGGACGAGAAGCUUGCUUCUCUGAUGUUAGCGGCGGACGGGUGAGUAACACGUGGAUAACCUACCUAUAAGACUGGGAUAACUUCGGGAAACCGGAGCUAAUACCGGAUAAUAUUUUGAACCGCAUGGUUCAAAAGUGAAAGACGGUCUUGCUGUCACUUAUAGAUGGAUCCGCGCUGCAUUAGCUAGUUGGUAAGGUAACGGCUUACCAAGGCAACGAUGCAUAGCCGACCUGAGAGGGUGAUCGGCCACACUGGAACUGAGACACGGUCCAGACUCCUACGGGAGGCAGCAGUAGGGAAUCUUCCGCAAUGGGCGAAUGCCUGACGGAGCAACGCCGCGUGAGUGAUGAAGGUCUUCGGAUCGUAAAACUCUGUUAUUAGGGAAGAACAUAUGUGUAAGUAACUGUGCACAUCUUGACGGUACCUAAUCAGAAAGCCACGGCUAACUACGUGCCAGCAGCCGCGGUAAUACGUAGGUGGCAAGCGUUAUCCGGAAUUAUUGGGCGUAAAGCGCGCGUAGGCGGUUUUUUAAGUCUGAUGUGAAAGCCCACGGCUCAACCGUGGAGGGUCAUUGGAAACUGGAAAACUUGAGUGCAGAAGAGGAAAGUGGAAUUCCAUGUGUAGCGGUGAAAUGCGCAGAGAUAUGGAGGAACACCAGUGGCGAAGGCGACUUUCUGGUCUGUAACUGACGCUGAUGUGCGAAAGCGUGGGGAUCAAACAGGAUUGGAUACCCUGGUAGUCCACGCCGUAAACGAUGAGUGCUAAGUGUUAGGGGGUUUCCGCCCCUUAGUGCUGCAGCUAACGCAUUAAGCACUCCGCCUGGGGAGUACGACCGCAAGGUUGAAACUCAAAGGAAUUGACGGGGACCCGCACAAGCGGUGGAGCAUGUGGUUUAAUUCGAAGCAACGCGAAGAACCUUACCAAAUCUUGACAUCCUUUGACAACUCUAGAGAUAGAGCCUUCCCCUUCGGGGGACAAAGUGACAGGUGGUGCAUGGUUGUCGUCAGCUCGUGUCGUGAGAUGUUGGGUUAAGUCCCGCAACGAGCGCAACCCUUAAGCUUAGUUGCCAUCAUUAAGUUGGGCACUCUAAGUUGACUGCCGGUGACAAACCGGAGGAAGGUGGGGAUGGCGUCAAAUCAUCAUGCCCCUUAUGAUUUGGGCUACACACGUGCUACAAUGGACAAUACAAAGGGCAGCGAAACCGCGAGGUCAAGCAAAUCCCAUAAAGUUGUUCUCAGUUCGGAUUGUAGUCUGCAACUCGACUACAUGAAGCUGGAAUCGCUAGUAAUCGUAGAUCAGCAUGCUACGGUGAAUACGUUCCCGGGUCU